rnacentral:sRNA from 1 species
AUGGGUUUGGUCCUGGGAUUCCUGUUGUGCUCCAGGACCGGGCGCUGCUCCGUCGUCCUCCCGCUCCUCGGGAGCGCCCGGUCCCUCGGAGGCUGAGUGUUGCAGCCGGGCGGCAGCCGGCUCCGCGGAGGGGCCUCCGGGCACCUGCGCGGUGAUGGCGCUGGGAGCCCCCGGGCACGCUCGGGCGGUGGCGCGGCAUCCCACCCUCGCCCGGAUGGCGUCCCCAGAGGUGGCGUUGGCCCGCUUUUCGUGCUAGCGCGUUCGCUUGGCGCGCGGUGGCCCUGAGGCCCCGGGUCGGUUUUCUGCGCCGCAGGCUUCUGGCCGGGGCGGAGCCGUGGAGGACCAGCCCGGCCCGGCUCCGAGCGCUGUCCAUGCGGAGCGCUGUCCACGCUCCGGGCACUGCGGGGGCCGGGCCCCGAAGCCCUACCCGGGCCUGCGGCGCGCACGCAGCGACCCCGUGCGGCCAGUGCUGCCGCCCGCUCUCCAGCUUUGGCGCUGACCACGAUGCUGAGCAGGAAGCAGCAGCUGCAGGCCCAGUGACUGGCGGCUCAGUGACCAGCAGCCCAGUGACCGGCAGCCAGGUCCUCACCUGGGUCCUCUCAGUGAAGCCAGGGUGGCCGCCCCAGCAGACAGCGCUACAGAGCCAACUCCUGACAG